AGAGUUUGAUCCUGGCUCAGGACGAACGCUGGCGGCGUGCCUAAUACAUGCAAGUCGAGCGGAGUUUGAAAGGUGCUUGCACCUUUCAAACUUAGCGGCGGACGGGUGAGUAACACGUGGGUAACCUGCCUAUGAGCCUGGGAUAACAUUCGGAAACGAAUGCUAAUACCGGAUAAGUAGUCUCCUCUCCUGAGGGGGCU
rnacentral:rRNA from 1 species